rnacentral:rRNA from 1 species
UACGUAGGUGGCAAGCGUUGUCCGGAAUUAUUGGGCGUAAAGCGCGCGCAGGCGGUCCUUUAAGUCGGGUGUGAAAUCCCCGGGCUCAACCUGGGAAUUGCAUUCGAUACUGGAUAGCUAGAGUUCGGCAGAGGGAAGCGGAAUUUCCGGUGUAGCGGUGAAAUGCGUAGAUAUCGGAAGGAACAUCAGUGGCGAAGGCGGCAUCCUGGACCACGACUGACGCUGAGGAGCGAAAGCCAGGGGAGCAAACGGG